CAUCUAUGGCAGGAACACAAGAUUAUAUUACAGAACACAGCUGUCUGGGCUCCCCCUACACAUUACAGUAUAUACGUCUCAUGCUGCGAGUCAUACACCAUAUACUGUACCAUCUUAUCUGCUUUAUAGUGAAUUGUGCCUCCAUGAAAACCAGCCAUGUUCUCUUCAUUUUACUCACUCUUCAUUCAGGUGAAGGUGCUGAAGACUAUAUUAUGCCGUCAGAGUCUGACAUGUUUGCCAGAGGAGGAAUGAAUGUCACUCUAUCCUGCUCCUACUCCAGUAGCUACACUGGAACCCUUUAUCUGUACUGGUAUCGUCAUUAUCCUGGGUCAGCUCCACAAUUCAUAUUAUAUAAAGCUAACCAAGGAUCUCAUGCUUAUACUUCCCUAUUUGCUGUUGGAAAAAUCACAUCUGAGGAUGCACAGCAGAAACAUCUUUUAGCUACUGGCUCUUCACUCCAAUCUGAUGCCAAUGGUGAAGAAGUAACCACAGAACCUUCCUGUCAUUAAAAUAUCAUUGUCAACAUCAAAUAAGACCUUCAGAAAAGUAAAACAAACAAACAAACAAAAACUUCCUCCUUUUCCUUACCACAAGAAAACUUUUCUGGGGAUUUGAUUUCAGUCAAGACCUGGAAGAAAACCAUCCAUAACAUCUAUAUAAAAGUGAAAUACAGAAUUUCCA